rnacentral:rRNA from 1 species
GAGAGUUUGAUCCUGGCUCAGAUUGAACGCUGGCGGCAGGCUUAACACAUGCAAGUCGAACGAUGAUUAUCUAGCUUGCUAGAUAUGAUUAGUGGCGGACGGGUGAGUAACAUUUAGGAAUCUGCCUAGUAGUGGGGGAUAGCUCGGGGAAACUCGAAUUAAUACCGCAUACGACCUACGGGUGAAAGGGGGCGCAAGCUCUUGCUAUUAGAUGAGCCUAAAACAGAUUAGCUAGUUGGUGGGGUAAAGGCCCACCAAGGCGACGAUCUGUAACUGGUCUGAGAGGAUGAUCAGUCACACCGGAACUGAGACACGGUCCGGACUCCUACGGGAGGCAGCAGUGGGGAAUAUUGGACAAUGGGGGCAACCCUGAUCCAGCCAUGCCGCGUGUGUGAAGAAGGCCUUUUGGUUGUAAAGCACUUUAAGCAGGGAGGAGAGGCUAAUGGUUAAUACCCAUUAGAUUAGACGUUACCUGCAGAAUAAGCACCGGCUAACUCUGUGCCAGCAGCCGCGGUAAUACAGAGGGUGCAAGCGUUAAUCGGAAUUACUGGGCGUAAAGGGAGCGUAGGUGGCUCUAUAAGCCAGAUGUGAAAUCCCCGGGCUUAACCUGGGAACUGCAUCUGAAACUGUAGAGCUAGAGUAUGUGAGAGGAAGGUAGAAUUCCAGGUGUAGCGGUGAAAUGCGUAGAGAUCUGGAGGAAUACCGAUGGCGAAGGCAGCCUUCUGGCAUAAUACUGACACUGAGGCUCGAAAGCGUGGGUAGCAAACAGGAUUAGAUACCCUGGUAGUCCACGCCGUAAACGAUGUCUACUAGUCGUUGGGUCCCUUGAGGACUUAGUGACGCAGCUAACGCAAUAAGUAGACCGCCUGGGGAGUACGGCCGCAAGGUUAAAACUCAAAUGAAUUGACGGGGGCCCGCACAAGCGGUGGAGCAUGUGGUUUAAUUCGAUGCAACGCGAAGAACCUUACCUGGUCUUGACAUAUCUAGAAUCCUGCAGAGAUGCGGGAGUGCCCUCGGGAAUUAGAAUACAGGUGCUGCAUGGCUGUCGUCAGCUCGUGUCGUGAGAUGUUGGGUUAAGUCCCGCGACGAGCGCAACCCUUGUCCUUAGUUACCAGCGGGUUAAGCCGGGAACUCUAAGGAUACUGCCAGUGACAAACUGGAGGAAGGCGGGGACGACGUCAAGUCAUCAUGGCCCUUACGACCAGGGCUACACACGUGCUACAAUGGUAGGUACAGAGGGCAGCUACACAGCGAUGUGAUGCGAAUCUCAAAAAGCCUAUCGUAGUCCAGAUUGGAGUCUGCAACUCGACUCCAUGAAGUAGGAAUCGCUAGUAAUCGCGGAUCAGAAUGUCGCGGUGAAUACGUUCCCGGGUCUUGUACACACCGCCCGUCACACCAUGGGAGCGGGUUCUGCCAGAAGUAGGUAGCCUAACCGUAAGGAGGGCGCUUACCAUUACAGGGUUUCAGAAUAGGGUGAAGUCGUAACAAGGUAGCCGUAG